GGCUCAGGAUGAACGCUAGCGGCAGGCCUAAUACAUGCAAGCCGAAACGGCAAGUCUGAUAGCAAUAUUAGACCUAGAGUGGCGUAAGGGUGCGUAACACGUAUGCAAUCUACCCUGUACAGGAGUAUAGCUCCCGAAAGGGGAAUUAACCCUCCAUAAUAUGAUGAACCGGCAUCGGUUUAUUAUUAAAACUGAGGUGGUACAGGAUGAGCAUGCGUCUGAUUAGCUAGUUGGUAGUGUAAUGGACUACCAAGGCAAUGAUCAGUAGGGGAACUGAGAGGUUGAUCCCCCACACUGGCACUGAGAUACGGGCCAGACUCCUACGGGAGGCAGCAGUAGGGAAUAUUGGACAAUGGGUGAGAGCCUGAUCCAGCCAUGCCGCGUGCAGGAAGAAGGCCUUCUGGGUUGUAAACUGCUUUUAUCUGGGGAUAAAAAGGCCUUGCGAGGCAAACUGAAGGUACCAGAUGAAUAAGCCACGGCUAACUACGUG
rnacentral:rRNA from 1 species